rnacentral:rRNA from 1 species
CCUACGGGUGGCAGCAGUGGGGAAUAUUGGACAAUGGGGGCAACCCUGAUCCAGCAAUUCUGUGUGCACGAAGAAGGUUUUCGGAUUGUAAAGUGCUUUCAGCAGGGAAGAAGAAAGUGACGGUACCUGCAGAAGAAGCGACGGCUAAAUACGUGCCAGCAGCCGCGGUAAUACGUAUGUCGCAAGCGUUAUCCGGAAUUAUUGGGCAUAAAGGGCAUCUAGGCGGCCCUGUAAGUCUAGGGUGAAAACCUGCGGCUCAACCGCAGGCCUGCCCCGGAAACUACAGGGCUAGAGUGCCGGAGAGGUGGACGGAACUGCACGAGUAGAGGUGAAAUUCGUAGAUAUGUGCAGGAAUGCCGAUGAUGAAGAUAGUUCACUGGACGGCAACUGACGCUGAAGUGCGAAAGCUAGGGGAGCGAACAGGAUUAGAUACCCUGGUAGUC